AGACCCGAAACCCGGUGAUCUAGCCAUGGGCAGGUUGAAGGUUGGGUAACACUAACUGGAGGACCGAACCGACUAAUGUUGAAAAAUUAGCGGAUGACCUGUGGCUGGGGGUGAAAGGCCAAUCAAACCGGGAGAUAGCUGGUUCUCCCCGAAAGCUAUUUAGGUAGCGCCUCGUGAAUUCAUCUCCGGGGGUAGAGCACUGUUUCGGCUAGGGGGCCAUCCCGGCUUACCAACCCGAUGCAAACUGCGAAUACCGGAGAAUGUUAUCACGGGAGACACACGGCGGGUGCUAACGUCCGUCGUGAAGAGGGAAACAACCCAGACCGCCAGCUAAGGUCCCAAAGUCAUGGUUAAGUGGGAAACGAUGUGGGAAGGCCCAGACAGCCAGGAUGUUGGCUUAGAAGCAGCCAUCAUUUAAAGAAAGCGUAAUAGCUCACUGGUCGAGUCGGCCUGCGCGGAAGAUGUAACGGGGCUAAACCAUGCACCGAAGCUGCGGCAGCGACGCUUAUGCGUUGUUGGGUAGGGGAGCGUUCUG
rnacentral:rRNA from 1 species